rnacentral:rRNA from 1 species
CCUACGGGAGGCAGCAGUGGGGAAUAUUGGGCAAUGGGCGCAAGCCUGACCCAGCAACGCCGCGUGAAGGAAGAAGGCUUUCGGGUUGUAAACUUCUUUUAAGGGGGAAGAGCAGAAGACGGUACCCCUUGAAUAAGCUACGGCUAACUACGUGCCAGCAGCCGCGGUAAUACGUAGGUGGCAAGCGUUGUCCGGAUUUACUGGGUGUAAAGGGCGUGCAGCCGGAGAGACAAGUCAGAUGUGAAAUCCACGGGCUCAACCCGUGAACUGCAUUUGAAACUGUUUCCCUUGAGUGUCGGAGAGGUAAUCGGAAUUCCUUGUGUAGCGGUGAAAUGCGUAGAGAUAAGGAAGAACACCAGUGGCGAAGGCGGAUUACUGGACGAUAACUGACGGUGAGGCGCGAAAGCGUGGGGAGCAAACAGGAUUAGAUACCCCUGUAGUC